ACUGAUGGUUAGAUGUUCAGGGGCACCCCAUCCACCAGGCGAGCUCAAAGCAAAUGUCCUUCUGGAGUGAGUGCAUGGGUCCAGGAAGGCCAGGCGUGUCGUUGUGUAGGGCCAUGAGUCCACGAGGAAAUGAGGUGCCAGUCCCCCUGCUCCUCACAGGGAUGGACCAGGACUCACUUCCGACCAGUUAAUUAAUGGACUUGAGACUUGUGACCCACCUGAGGACCAAGUCCUCGCAGGACACUGGGUAGAAUGGUAAAGACAAGCAGUGGCAUGACCUCUAAUGCCAGAGUAAGAACGUGUGCCCCAUGCCCACCCAGGUCGCUAGGCCUUUACUGCAGCCGAGGCACUGCCUCUGUCUGGUCUUGGGUGCUGAGAGGCCGGGACCUGCUGCGGCCUGUUGGAUGCAGCUCAUGCUCCCUCCCGAGUCCGUGGCAGAGAGCAGUAGGGGCUCAGGGCAGCAGAAGGCCCAGGGAGAGGAGGGGGUCCUCCCUGUCCAGGUGAGAGCCUUUGACCAUACCAAGAGCCGGGGUGCCCAGUUGUCCUUCAGCACUGGGCCUUCCAGCAGGCCAAGGGAGACAGUAUCAGAACCUCAUCAUAGGCUGUUUAAGGCUUAAGUGAGGUUGACAGGUGAAAUGCUGAGAACAGUGGCCCCUUGCAAGCGUUUUAUGGAGGUAGUGUAUUCUCUGUGUGGAUGCAGGUGGGGAGAAGUGGAAGGAAGGACGCACGAGAGCCAGCCUGCGACACCUAAGGACAGAAACACCUCCCUCAGCCCAGCCGGCUGCUGACUCCAUGCGAAGAGGGACACCAACCCUUACAAUCUCACAGUGUCCUGCCCCUGCCCCUGCCCCUGUGAGGGCGAUGCUCCUUCCAUCAAAACCAGAGUGUCCCAGCUCUAGAUUCCCCACC
rnacentral:lncRNA from 1 species